AAAUUAUUCAGGCCCAUGAUGUUGAUGUAAACAAAGCCUGGUUGCAUCAUCACUCUUCAUGUGUUCUGCAACACCGAAUAUUCGCAAAUGGAUGGACUGGUGCUUUAACAAAGUGACUUACAAGAAAGUGCUUACUGGAGAAGUAAUCUGCUGUGUCCAGAUCAGGCACCAGAUGGCGCUGUGCUGGCAGUGCCAGGAGAUAAUGGGGACAGAUCGGGC
rnacentral:lncRNA from 1 species